rnacentral:lncRNA from 1 species
AGACAAUACACGCUUAAUUAUACGGCUAGGGAAAGAACACAAGUUCACGUAAAAAAUUUGACCCUAUUUUCAUGUUCUUUUCCCUAGGGUUCUUCUCUGCUAUCUUCUCCACAUGUUAUUCUCUUAACUCUUUCUCCAGGUAUCCAUCUCUCUCUCAUACUGUCUGUAAUAUACUUCUUCUCUCUUCUUCUAUCUUCCUCUCCUCUUUCUUUAUAUAUUUCCUCUUUUAUUAAAUUUUUGUGGAAAUUUGGUUAUGAAUAUAAUUGCAUCGUGGAAUUAUUUAUUUGUCUAUGUUUUGCAUUGAAUUGAAACUCGAUAUUUCAGAUAGCAACCAAAAGCUUGGGUUUUUCUAUCUUCUGGGAGGAAGAAGAAGCAUUUAUGCUUUCUAGUUUCGCCGUUUUGCUUUCUACUUUCAGCUUUACAAGGAGAGUUCUUGUAUCUUUGAUUAAGCUUCUAUUCAGUUUUCCAAAAUUCAAGCUUCAAUUUUUAGACUCUCAAUUAAGCUGGGGAGUGGAUGAGUUUGGUUCAUAAUUUAGUUUUCUCAAAUUCAAGUGAUUUUUUUUUUCUUCAUAAGAAUCACCUUUUGUUCCUUUCCAAAUCUGUAUCAAAACCCCAAUAAAAAUCAUAGCUAGGAAUCCCCCCUUGCAGCAUUUAUAUAUAGUUGGGGAUGUACCAAUAAAAAUUGCAAAAUCUAAAUACAAUUCACACAUACCAACUUGAUCAUAAACCUAAUUACAUGGCUCAAAUAAGCUCUCUCUUUGUAGAAAUUGAGCCAAGUCCUAGGCUUGGUGGAAGCAUUCAAAGCCUUUGAUGCAGAAAAUGAUGGAAAAAUCAAUCCUGCUGAGCUUGGAGGGAUCUUGGGGUCACUUGUGUGCAAGACAAGUGAUCAAGAUGUGAGGGCAAUGAGGCAACAAGGGGACACAAACAGAGAUGGGUUUCUGAGCAUAGAGGAGUUCUUGGGCAUGAACACAAAGAACAUGGAAUUUAGGAAGCUUGAAGAUGUCCUCAAGAAUGCUUUUGAAGCCUUGGAUGUUGAUGGGGAGGAGAUUGUGAUUGUUGAGGAGCUUUAUGAGGUUAUGGGGGAUGAUUUUGGUUUGGGGUCAUCUCUUGAAGACUGCCAGGGGAUUAUUGCUUCCAUGUUGAUAUAGAUGGAGAUGGGGCUGCUAGCGUUGAGGACUUCAAACUAAUAGUCAAUUCCCUUCAAACUAGUAGUCAAUUCCCUCUGAGAUUAAUCCUAUUGAUGUGUUUGGUCAAUAUAAUUAUGUAUGAGAUACUACAAUUAUGAUAAUGGGUUAGUUCAUGUAAUCUUAUUUUAUAGAUCUUGGCAAAAGCAAAUGAAAAAAAAAAAAAUUGUCA